CCUGAGGGCCCACAAGCACCUUCCACCUGUCCGAGGGGUGGCUCUGCCAGGAGGGGCAGGGGGAGAUUUGGGCAGACAGCUCCUGGGAGUUCUUUGGAGCCCGGCACAGCAGGCAGGAGCCGGCCCAAGGGGCUGCUGUGGCACCUCCGUCCCUGAUCCCGCAGACCCUGGUGGCACCACCUGUCUGCCUCCGUCCCUGACUCCCCAGCCCCCAGGCCCACCCAUCUGCAUCCACCCCCGGUCCCCGGUGCCACCUGCCUGCAUCCACCCCCUCGCAGCCCCCAGUGCCACCUGCCCUUAUCCACACCCCCUGCAGCUUGUGCCUUCCACCCAGCUCCAUCCCGGAGCCCCCCCAGUGCACCUGCCAGCUCCUGUGCCUGAGCCCCCUGCCAAUUUCUGUGGCUUUACAGCCACACUGUCCGCUCUGCCUCCCGUCCUGUUGUGUCUCCUGGAUGGAGAGUCCCGUUAGCAGCCUGGAGGGAGCCCACUACCUAAGCUCCCCUCUGCAUACCUGGCACGUCUGUCACUGUGCCCCUGCCUCUGGUACCUCCCCAAGCGCUGAGCCGGGCAGGGUCCUGUCCAGGGUGCUGAGCUGGGCAGCUGGGUCCGAUGCUGAGCCGGGCAGGGUCCUGUCCAGGGCGCUGAGCUGGGCAGCCAGGUCCGGUGCUGAGUCGGGCAGGGUCCUGUCCAGGGUGCUGAGCUGGGCAGCCAGGUCCGGUGCUGAGUCGGGCAGGGUCCUGUCCAGGGUGCUGAGCUGGGCAGCCGGGUCCGAUGCUGAGCCGGGCAGGGUCCUGUCCAGGGCGCUGAGCUGGGCAGCCGGGUCCGAUGCUGAGCCGGGCAGGGUCCUGUCCAGGGCGCUGAGCUGGGGGCAGCCGGGUCUGGUGCUGAGCCGGGCAGAUUCCCUUGUAAUAAGAGACUGUUGGCAGCCCUAGGUCCCGCCCAGAUGCUGCCUCUGAGCAGAGAAAUAGAAACUUAUAUUUCCUGCUCUGGUGCCCUCUGGGUCCUAAUACAAGUGUGACAGUGCUGCCUGGGGGGAGCUGAGGUCAUUCAAUCAGGGUGAACUGCAAAAUAAUGGGGGCAGACAAACCCCAGACGCUGGUGGCUAUUCCGCUACCUAGAUUUACCAGCCAGCACUGAACAGCUCCUGUAGUACCUCACUGGUUACUCAGAAGUUCAAACACCACAGUUCCCUUAAAGUGCCCAGCCUCAGGCCUCUGUCCAGACACAGACGGCAGAGAUGAUGACGAUUCCUGAAAAUCUUCUCUCAUCAUUGUGACGAACUGGGAAAGUUCUUAAUGUUUCUCUGAAUAUUGUGUUGGUGCCUCAGUGUCCCCAUGGCAGUUCUUAAGUAUCUGGCAGAGCAAAGGGCCAGUGCACCUAAAUGCCUGACACUCUGUCUCCUAGCAACUGAUGGCCUGGGCCCCCCCUCUGCAAAGGUGCCAGCUGAAGGUGUUGAAGACAAAGGGAUCAGGUGACCUCCUGGCCCGGGAAAGGGGCUGAGCAGAGAGGAGGGGCUGGGAGGGGCUGUUAGUCUGGAGCUGGCUGGGGUCAAGGGUGGAGGGCAGACCUGGGGGUCUGGCUCACUGCCCCCCAGAAUGGACCCGGCCGAGGGGUCCGGUUCGCUGUAUCUACAAGCUCUGUUUUAGACCCUGUUCCUGUCAUCGAAUAAACCUCUGUGUUACUGGC